CGCCGGCGCCGCCGCUGCCGCGCCGUCCCGCUCCGCGUCGCGCUCCGGCGCGCUCACCCACGCCGUCGCCGCCGCCGGCUCUCCCACGCCUCCGCACCGGACGCCGCCAAGGUCCGCCGUCCCCUGCAUCGACCGCGGCUCCUUCCCCGGCGCGGGUGAGUAGCUGUCGUCGUUGCGGGCGGCGUUGGAGUGGAUCCCCGAGGAGAAAACACACCGGGGUCAAGAUUUCAGGUAUCUCCUCCCGACUCCCUCAAAUCUCUCCUCCAAAUCAGACCCUCACCGGCCUGUGUGCUCCGCCGUCGCUGGUCCAUCGGGAUCCCGCGCCGCCGCCCACCCGUCGGGACCCCGCACCGCCGCCGAUCCGUCAUCGUGCCGCGAGUAGAUCCCCGCCUCCUCCUUUCCGGGGCAAAUUCCGGCUGCCACUGUGCCCUCCUCCAUGGGAAAUGGAAUUCAAAGAAUUUUCACAGAGGCCUGCCAAGGUUUGCUCAAUGAUCGCCCCAUCAAUUUAUGGUCAUUCUGAUGUCAAGAAAGCUAUUGCAUGCUUGUUAUUUGGGGGAUCUAAGAAGAGGCUACCUGAUGGUGUACGUCUGGGUGAUCCAUUGGCAGCAAAAUCACAGGCAAGU